rnacentral:lncRNA from 1 species
UUUAUUUUUGUUCUUUGUUUUGUUUUGUUUUUGUUUUCUUUCUAAAUAAAAUUGCAUUUUUGUUGAAAGUUUUAGGCUAUAGAAUAAUUUCAGGUCGAGUUUGCGGAGACUUGGGAAAAAUUCACAAGAUCGGUAUUGUUUUAACACCGUAAGUCUCCUGCAUAUGGAAAUUGAGUUGAAUUUUUAUUAUUACAUAGCCUUAAAU